GGUUCCAUAGUGUAGCGGUUAACAUGUCUGCUUUACAUGCAGAAAGUCCUGGGUUUACGCCCCAGUGGAGCCA
rnacentral:tRNA from 1 species